rnacentral:rRNA from 1 species
GGGCGAAAGGGAAUCCGGUUCCUAUUCCGGAACCCGGCAGCGGAACCGCAUACCAUUCGGGCCCUCGUAAGAGUGUUCGUCGGGGUAACCCAAAAUGACCUGGAGACGCCGUCGGGAGAUCCGGGAAGAGUUUUCUUUUCUGUAUAAGCGUUCGAGUUCCCUGGAAACCUCUAGCAGGGAGAUAGGGUUUGGAACGCGAAGAGCACGCAGUUGCGGCGGUGUCCGGAUCUUCCCCUCGGACCUUGAAAAUCCAGGAGAGGG